AACGAACGCUGGCGGCAUGCCUAACACAUGCAAGUCGAACGAGACCUUCGGGUCUAGUGGCGCACGGGUGCGUAACGCGUGGGAACCUGCCCUUAGGUUCGGAAUAACUCCCCGAAAGGGGUGCUAAUACCGGAUAAUGUCUUCGGACCAAAGAUUUAUCGCCUUUGGAUGGGCCCGCGUUGGAUUAGCUAGUUGGUAGGGUAAAAGCCUACCAAGGCGACGAUCCAUAGCUGGUCUGAGAGGAUGAUCAGCCACACUGGGACUGAGACACGGCCCAGACUCCUACGGGAGGCAGCAGUGGGGAAUAUUGGACAAGGGGCGAAAGCCUGAUCCAGCAAUGCCGCGUGAGUGAUGAAGGCCUUAGGGUAGUAAAGCUCUUUUACCCGGGAUGAUAAUGACAGUACCGGGAGAAUAAGCUCCGGCUAACUCCGUG
rnacentral:rRNA from 1 species